UCAGUUUUAAAUGCUGCCGAGUACUACUUCUAUACAUCGCAUUUUUGGUGACGUAGCGGUCGAUCAAAAGCGCUAUUUCUUUUCAUACUUUGUGCUCAAUUCCGAAAGCCAAGAAGUAUUGUAGGCUGUGCCACUCAUUAGUCAUUGUUAGUUGUGAGAAAGAUGAGGACUAUAGAAGAGAUGAUUUCGUGACAUAAUCCAGAACAAAGAACAACGAAGACGUCUUACUUUUUACUUCUCUUCCUAGUAGUAAAACAAUUAAGUCUAUUUGUUUAUAUUUACUUUAAGUAAAUUCUAGUAUAAGAACGAAGGUUAAAUUUCUUUUUUUUUGUUUGGUUUACUAACUACAAAUACUUUUUUCUAAUAUACUAAUGUAUAGCCAAACACGUGAGUUUCAGGAUGAAUUGUUUGCAAAUUGAGACGUCAUAUUUGAAAAAUAUUGGUGAAAAUAAAAUAGGAAAAUAAAAUAGUCCGUUCAAGGAGAUGUAAAUAAAACAGUCGCGUGUUAAGCACGAGAUAAAUGUAAUUAUUCGCUGGCAAACAACGGUUAAUGUAGAUUCAGGAGCGGAAUCAUAGUUUAUUUCGAUUUUCAUCUAACAAAUAUUACAAUAUUCGAAGGUUGUGAAAACGCUCUUGUCCUGAUCACGUCGCCAUCAUGAGCAUUUCUUACUUGAUUCGUUUUUUAAAAGAAACUAUACAUUUAUCCACCGAAGAUUUAUUGCGUCUAUUUUGUUGGUUUUUAUUUUUGACGUUUGUAUCCUUUUGUUUUUUUAAUGGUGUUUUAUGUAAUAAUUAAAAAUUUAUUAAUCGUGAUUAAUUAAUUGUGAUAUUUUGUGUUAUAUUUAACUUUCGUAUAUAAUGUAUAGAUAUAUGUUUAUAUAUACAUGCACAUUGUACAUCACAGUGGCAUGGAAUGUAUAUCUGUAUAUUUAUUAUAUCCACACACACACACACAAUCUUAACUUAAUAAAGCUCUUUCAUUUUACGUGUUAUGAUACAUUAAAUUCUACGACGAAGGGCAACACAAAAUAUUUACGGUUACGUUCGAUAUCAGACAAUUUUCUGUGGUCGAACAAGAUGUUUCAUGAUCAACCUCGCUUACGAGUAGAUAAGAGCCAGGAUAAUGAUGAGUUCUAAUCUGCAUUCGUAAUGAUGAAUAUGAAAAGUGACGCAGUGUCUCAGUCAGUGGCAUCAGUUAUCUAUUAAUCCUUGGAACCAUACGCUUACUCUUGCUUUUUGUCAUGGAGAGGAAGAGAAAACAAGAGAAAGAUAAAGAAAGGAAUAUCAACCAGUUGGACUUCUUUUUGUCACACUGCUAAGGACCGCUUCGAUCACCACCACUAUCCUAUUAUCUGUAUCGUCAUGCCUCUUUUGAUGAUCCAAUUUUUGAUUCCAAAAAAUGUGUAGGUAGGGUUCCAGAGAUCUUAUUCAAUUUUCAUCACGAAAACUAUGCUACUAAUUUUACGGAUAAUAGAUCGCGAAAUCACACAUUUCGCGGUAUGGCUAUUGUACAAGCGCAUGGGAUUCAUCUAGCUCCAUGGUAGUGAAAUCGCCAUUUUGGAUUCUGUGAUUCGGUUACGAUAAAUCAUCAGAAGGUCAUCUAUUAAUUACAGGUAUAUAUAUCUUGUUUCAACAAAUAUAAUUCAUGAUUACACGCAAAACAAUCCUAGAAUAAAUUUUUGCUCAUAGGGUUUUUAAUUGUUUCUACAUUUAAAUGUGUAAGUUAAUUAAAUAAAAUUAUAUUGAAUACAAAUGAGUGAAGUAGAGUUAUACUUACGUUGGUGAAGUAUUCUUUGUUAUCCUUAGACUGGAGUUCAUCCUACAAAGAUCAACAAAGAUUUUAAUCAUUAUUGCAGUUCUGCGCAAUGCAAUGAAUAAAUCAAGUGUUGUAUUGCUUAAAUAGAAUAAAAAAUCGCGAAUUAGAGUCAGUAUUUGUUUAUUAACUUACGUUUAUCCACGAUUAAAGAAAACUUUUAGAAGACUUUUAGUUUUAUGUUAUUCUGCGAUUGAAGAAGACUUUUAGAAACAUGUGUAUCUAAAUCGACUGACGCGAGAUUCAAAAAAUUUUUCGAAAUGCAUUUUUAUAACAAAAGAUAUUGGAAAUCUAAACUAUUUACAUUAAGGGAAAUGAUAUGAAUGGUUUAAGCUAUCAAGAAUUAGUAAGAAUUUGGUUUUAAAAUACUAAAAGAGUCAAUACAUCAUUGAAGAUGAUCAACUCGUACGAUAACUGUGAUAAGAUCGAGAUGAUGGUCUCUUACAAUUAUUUCAACCUAUAUUGGUGUCCACCUACAUCGUUGUCGAUCUAUAAUCAACGAGUUGACAGUAUGACUGCGAACAAGUGUUUUGGAGCCACCGUAUUUAAGUAGAAAUCGGUUAAUUCAUCAACACUGGGUAUUUCAUUCGCCUCUGCAUGCUGUUCCAUUUUUGUUGUGUGGUUGUAUCGAGCUUUGUUUCGAUCAUGUGAAGCAAUAAUUCGUCCCAAGGCUCGGUUGAAAAUUACAUCUUCUUUAAUACUUAAAGAUAUUUGAGUAUUUAUUUAUACUCGCGGAUUUUCAUUUGACUCAGUAUCUGGAAUGAAUAGUGAAUCUGUUUUUUCUUGAUUGAUUUGGGAUCGUCAUAGCAUCUUUUUAGUAAGUUCCAUGCAAUUUCGUAAUUCAUGUCGAAAAUUGAAUAUAACUUAAUUAACUUUGCUAUGUUUUAUCUGUUAACGAAGAAUACUGUAUUUCUGAAUAUUUGAGAUGCAUUAGCACCUUGAAGGCUUUGAAAUAUUUCUUCCAGUCCUCGAUUUUUCGAAACUUGUCAAUUUCUCGACUAGCGGUUUCAUUUAAAGUUUUCGUUACGAUUGUUUGAUAGUAAGAUCAACAAGGUUGUUCUAAAAACUCUACCGAUAAAUCAUUGUUUACAGCGUUCAUAUUUUUGUUGGUAAUUAUGACAGAAUAUGCACGUUUUACAGUGGCCUUUUAAAAUUCGUCUUUUUUUCUGGUAUUUCACAUGACCACGGUAUUGCCGAAGAAAUAUUACAGAUCUUCAAAUAUUACCAUCAUUUCUUAAUUCUUUCAUAUAUUUAUAUAUAUAACAAUAACAAUAAUAUAACUUUUCUUAAUAACGCUUUUAUAACAAAGACUGAUCCUCAACUUCUAUUGAUUAUUUUUUGCUCGCCAAUCAACUUUUUGACCAAUCAGCAAUGUGCGAUUUAUGAUUGUGCCUCUAACGGAACACGUUCGCAAUAGUAAUAUUGCUCAAACUGCUAUUUGGCUGAUAUCGGUUUUGUUGCUUGGUCAGUAAUAUCGGUAUUAUUAGACCGGCGGUGGCAUGGUAUAACAUUAGUGGAUUUUGCAUAUCCGCGUUGACUUGAAUUUUGAUGGAGUUCGAAGCCAUUCAAUAUAAAUUGAACGUUUUAUGCGAAGCACGGAAGCCGACUCGUUUUAUGCGAAGCACUGAAGCCGACUCGUUCUUCCACAUUAAAAUCGAAAAAUGUUCAUAUCUUCUACAACGAUUUUUAUUCAUCGUACUUUUUCGCCAAUGAAAAUAAAAUAAAAAAAGUUGUUUCUCCACGGGUUGUAAGUGAUGUUCAUAUGUUUUCACUGAUGACAUAGUCGGCUCGAGAAUUUUACGUUAUUCCCAAAAACACGUUCAUCGAAUUCUCGAAUCGAAAUUAAUUAAAACGUAACCUAAUUUUUAUCUAUUGCGAUGUAAGAUUAACUAGCUGAAUGAUAGAUAGACGAAGUAUAAUAAUGUAACAAUAUAUUCUUAUGAUUCUUAUGACAUACUGAUUAUAAUAGUGAGACGCACUAUGUGAUCUAUUAGAGUUUUAAGUUGUGCUUUGAUAAAGAUUUUGCUUGGAUCUUGAGAGUUAUUUUAUGAUUAACUAUCCAACAAGAUGGUUGGAAUAAUUUGAAAAAAAGAGAAAGGAAGAGGGAAAGUAUGUCAUAUCUAUAUUGAUACCUAUAUAUAAACAAUAAAAGUUUUCAUCAUUUUAUAAUACAAAAGAUUUGAUAUCAAAUUAUUUUAUUUAGAUGAGACAUAUUGCUUAAAUGAUAACCUACCUUUAAAUAAUAAUUAAUUUUCAUUUACGGAUAAAUAAUGAAAUGGGUGAAGUAAUAAGUGACAGUUUUAAACGAUAAAGUGAAGCUUGUUAUUAAAUUUUAUUAUUUUUAUCUGUAUUACCUGUUGUAAUUUCUAUGUAAGAAAAUAAUGUAUGCAAUAAAAAGACAUCUGUUCCUAUUUAGUCCUAUAAACCAAUCGUCGGCGACUUGGUCGAGGAAAGACUAAAAACUUAACAACCAAAAAAUUCGACAACCGAAUUCGGUGACUCGAAGUAUCGUCAGUAUCUUAGGAACAAAAGGAUAGCGUCAAAAGAAAUAUAUAAUAUUUGCAUAUAAUAUAUAUUGCAUAUAUAAUAUAGCCAAGAAUAACUGUUAUAACAUUUUUUGUUUCUCAUAACUGUUCAGAACUUUAUGAAAUUAUGCUUUAUUAAUUAGUUUUUUAUAAACAAUGAGUGUACAUUUCCUCGGAAAUUUCCAAAAUAGAUAUAGUGUAAUCAAAAAAUGAAUUACUUGUACAAUUUGCAAAAUUAACAAGAAAAAAUAAA